AUUGAACGCUGGCGGCAGGCCUAACACAUGCACGUCGAGCGGAGCUGCGGACGGGUGAGUAAUGCCUAGUCAUCUGCCUGGUAGUGGGGGAUAACGUCCGGAAACGUGCGCUAAUAACGCAUACUCUCAGAUGAGCCUAGGUCGGAUGAGCUAGUUGGUGGGGUAAAGACCUACCAAGGCGACGAUCCGUACCUGGUCUGAGCGGAUGAUCAGUCACACUGGAGCUGAGACACGGUCCAGACUCCUACGAGAGGCAGCAGUGGGUAAUAUUGAACAAUGGGCGAAAGCCUGAUCCAGCCAUGCCGAGUGUGUGAAGAAGGUCUUCGGAUUGUAAAGCACUUUAAGUUGGGAGGCGUUACCAACAGAAUAAGCACCGGCUAACUUCGUGCCAGCAGGCGCGUUAAUUC
rnacentral:rRNA from 1 species